rnacentral:rRNA from 1 species
ACUCAAAUGAAUAGACGGGGGCCCGCACAAGCGGUGGAGCAUGUGGCUUAAUUCGAUGAUACGCGAGGAACCUUACCCAGGCUUAAACUGCGGGGUAAUCCUCUGGAAACAGGGGGUGCUUCGGCGACCCCGUAGAGGUGCUGCAUGGCUGUCGUCAGCUCGUGUCGUGAGAUGUUGGGUUAAGUCCCGCAACGAGCGCAACCCUUGUCGCUAGUUACCAGCGAGUCAAGUCGGGGACUCUAGCGAGACUGCCGGCACAAGCCGGAGGAAGGUGGGGAUGACGUCAAGUCCUCAUGGCCCUUACGUCUGGGGCUGCACACGUGCUACAAUGGUCGGGACAACGGGUCGCAAGAUCGCGAGGUCAAGCCAAUCCCUAAAACCCGGCCCCAGUUCGGAUUGGAGUCUGCAAUUCGACUCCAUGAAGCCGGAAUCGCUAGUAAUCGCGCAUCAGAAUGGCGCGGUGAAUACGUUCUCGGGCCUUGUACACACCGCCCGU